rnacentral:rRNA from 1 species
UACGUAGGGGGCAAGCGUUGUCCGGAUUUAUUGGGCGUAAGGAGCGUGUAGGCGGCCAGGUAGGUCCGCUGUGAAAACUCGAGGCUCAACCUCGAGAUGUCGGCGGAAACCGUCUGGCUAGAGUCCGGAAGAGGAGAGUGGAAUUCCUGGUGUAGCGGUGAAAUGCGCAGAUAUCAGGAAGAACACCCGUGGCGAAGGCGGCUCUCUGGGACGGUACUGACGCUGAGACGCGAAAGCGUGGGGAGCGAACAGG